rnacentral:rRNA from 1 species
CCUACGGGCUGCAGCAGUGGGGAAUAUUGCACAAUGGGCGCAAGCCUGAUGCAGCCAUGCCGCGUGUAUGAAGAAGGCCUUCGGGUUGUAAAGUACUUUCAGCGGGGAGGAAGGCGAUAAGGUUAAUAACCUUGUCGAUUGACGUUACCCGCAGAAGAAGCACCGGCUAACUCCGUGCCAGCAGCCGCGGUAAUACGGAGGGUGCAAGCGUUAAUCGGAAUUACUGGGCGUAAAGCGCACGCAGGCGGUCUGUCAAGUCGGAUGUGAAAUCCCCGGGCUCAACCUGGGAACUGCAUUCGAAACUGGCAGGCUAGAGUCUUGUAGAGGGGGGUAGAAUUCCACGUGUAGCGGUGAAAUGCGUAGAGAUGUGGAGGAACACCAGUGGCGAAGGCGGCUUCCUGGCCUGUAACUGACGCUGAGGCGCGAAAGCGUGGGGAGCAAACAGGAUUAGAUACCCCGGUAGUC